rnacentral:rRNA from 1 species
AAUGAACGCUGGCGGCAUGCCUAACACAUGCAAGUCGAACGAGACCUUCGGGUCUAGUGGCGCACGGGUGCGUAACGCGUGGGAAUCUGCCCUUGGGUUCGGAAUAACAGUGAGAAAUUACUGCUAAUACCGAAUGAUGACGUAAGUCCAAAGAUUUAUCGCCCAGGGAUGAGCCCGCGUAGGAUUAGCUAGUUGGUGAGGUAAAAGCUCACCAAGGCGACGAUCCUUAGCUGGCUGAGAGGAUGAUCAGCCACACUGGGACUGAGACACGGCCCAGACUCCUACGGGA